UUCCGGUUGAUCCUGCCGGACCUGACUGCUAUCGGAUUGAUACUAAGCCAUGCGAGUCAUUGUAGCAAUACAAGGCAGACGGCUCAGUAACGCGUAGUCAACCUACCCUAUGGACGGGAAUAACCUCGGGAAACUGAGAAUAAUGCCCGAUAGAACACUAUGCCUGGAAUGGUUUGUGUUCCAAAUGAUUUAUCGCCAUAGAAUGGGACUGCGGCCUAUCAGUUUGUUGGUGAGGUAAUGGCCCACCAAGACUAUUACAGGUACGGGCUCUGAGAGGAGUGGCCCGGAGAUGGGUACUGAGACACGGACCCAGGCCCUAUGGGGCGCAGCAGGCGAGAAAACUUUGCAAUGUGCGAAAGCACGACAAGGUUAAUCCGAGUGGUUUCUGCUAAAGGAACCUUUUGACAGUCCUAAAAACACUGUUGAAUAAGGGGUGGGCAAGUUCUGGUGUCAGCCGCCGCGGUAAAACCAGCACCUCAAGUGGUCAGGAUGAUUAUUGGGCCUAAAGCAUCCGUAGCCGGCUCUGUAAGUUUUCGGUUAAAUCUGUACGCUCAACGUACAGGCUGCUGGGAAUACUGCAGAGCUAGGGAGUGGGAGAGGUAGACGGUACUCGGGAGGAAGUGGUAAAAUGCUUUGAUCUCUCGAUGACCACCUGUGGCGAAGGCGGUCUACCAGAACACGUUCGACGGUGAGGGAUGAAAGCUGGGGGAGCAAACCGGAUUAGAUACCCGGGUAGUCCCAACCGUAAACUAUGCAAACUCAGUGAUGCGUUGGCUUAUGGCCAGCGCAGUGUUGCAGGGAAGCCGUUAAGUUUGCCGCCUGGGAAGUACGUACGCAAGUAUGAAACUUAAAGGAAUUGGCGGGGGAGCACCACAAGGGGUGAAGCCUGCGGUUCAAUUGGAGUCAACGCCGGG
rnacentral:rRNA from 1 species